rnacentral:rRNA from 1 species
UUGGACCUACGGGGGGCAGCAGUGGGGAAUAUUGCACAAUGGGGGAAACCCUGAUGCAGCAACGCCGCGUGAAGGAAGACGGUUUUCGGAUUGUAAACUUCUGUUCUUAGUAAGAAAAAUGACGGUAGCUAAGGAGCAAGCCACGGCUAACUACGUGCCAGCAGCCGCGGUAAUACGUAGGUGGCAAGCGUUGUCCGGAAUUACUGGGUGUAAAGGGAGCGCAGGCGGUAAGCCAAGUCAGCUGUGAACACUAAGGGCUU